rnacentral:rRNA from 1 species
CCUACGGGUGGCAGCAGUGGGGAAUAUUGCUCAAUGGGGGAAACCCUGAAGCAGCGACGCCGCGUGAGGGAAGAAGGAUCUAGGAUUGUAAAGCUCUUUUGUUAGGGACGAAAAUGACGGUACCUGACUAAUAAGCACCGGCUAACUCCGUGCCAGCUGCCGCGGUAAUACGGAGGGUGCAAGCGUUAUCCGGAUUCACUGGGCGUAAAGGGGGCGUAGGCGGGGUAAGAAGUCAGGAGUGAAAUCCCGGAGCUUAACUCGGGAACUGCUUUGGAAACUGUUCUGCUGGAGUGUAGGAGGGGUAGGUGGAAUUCUUGGUGUAGCGGUGAAAUGCGUAGAUAUCAGGAGGAACACUGGUGGCGAAGGCGGCCUACUGGACUGUAACUGACGCUGAGGCACGAAAGCGUGGGGAGCAAACAGGAUUAGAUACCCUAGUAGUC